AGGAGCGUAGCUCAAUUGGUAGAGCGUCGGUCUCCAAAACCGAAGGUUGUGGGUUCGAUCCCCUCCGCUCCUG
rnacentral:tRNA from 1 species